rnacentral:rRNA from 1 species
GACCAGACUCCUACGGGAGGCAGCAGUGAGGAAUAUUGGUCAAUGGUCGGGAGACUGAACCAGCCAAGCCGCGUGAGGGAUGAAGGUACAGAGUAUCGUAAACCUCUUUUGUCAGGGAACAAAGGCGGGGACGCGUCCCCGGAUGAGUGUACCUGAAGAAAAAGCAUCGGCUAACUCCGUGCCAGCAGCCGCGGUAAUACGGAGGAUGCGAGCGUUAUCCGGAUUUAUUGGGUUUAAAGGGUGCGCAGGCGGAAUGUCAAGUCAGCGGUAAAAUUUCGGGGCUCAACCCCGUCGUGCCGUUGAAACUGGCGUUCUUGAGUGAGCGAGAAGUAUGCGGAAUGCGUGGUGUAGCGGUGAAAUGCGUAGAUAUUAGGAGGAACACCAGUGGCGAAGGCGGCUUACUGGACUGUAACUGACGUUGAGGCUCGAAAGCGUGGGGGGCAAACAGGAUUAGAUACCCUCGUACC